rnacentral:snoRNA from 1 species
GUACAUGCAGAGAUGUCUGCUCUUCAUUCCUUUAGGAGCAGGUGUACAUCUUUAACAUGUUGUACUUAU